AUGAAAACCGGCCCGACGCAGGGAGGAGACCUGCUCGGUGCGUCUCGAAAGGGUUUAACAGGCAUUUUCUGUACCUUGAGUCACAAGCUGAAGAAAACAACCUCUAGUGAUCUCUCCACCACUAGAACUGUAUUACUGCAAUGCCACCAUUCAUGCAAAGAAUGGCAUUUGCCUUUCCCGAGGACAAAGAGGUUCCAGCGACACAAAUGUGUCCCUGCAGCCUGUUAUAUUCUCUGCCUGGGCUCCUUACUGCGCGUGCAGAAAAUUCACAGUCCAUCCCUAAAUACACUGUGGAUUUAGCAGAAACAGAUAUUCCACAGGAGUUUAAAAUCCUUGCAGGAGCAUCCAGCUGACUUCACUGUAAUACACAUUUAAUGCCUGCGUCAUUAGGAACAAUGUGCAUAACAACAACUCUCUGAAGGAGCCACCUGAUCCAAUUCUCUGCUCUUGAACCAGUUUUUAUGGAUCUGAAGCUUUUGAAAUUAGCAGAACUGCUCCUGAACUGGUGUCAGAAAUAGUGUGCUCUUUGGAAUAACAAGGUGUUUAAAAAUAACUGAGCCUUUAUAUAGAUCUCCCUUGUCACAGAGACCUGCCCCACGCAGGCAGCAGCGCUAAUGGACAAAGAGAGAGAAGACCUCAACCACAGAAGGUCUCGGCAGCGCAGCUGAAUCAGAGAGCCAAGAGACAGCAGUGUUGUCGCUUGAUCUGUUGCAAUGUCUUAGUGUUUCCUUUAUGCCUUGAAUCUUUGUAUCUGACCUGAAGUGCAGACAAACCUAUAGCUGCCUGGGAAUCAUCUCCUGAGAGCUUGAUGUUGUAUUCUGCUCCUUAUCGUCAGGCGAAGGAGCUCUUAAUGCAUGUAAGUCAAUCGCAUCUCCACAAAGUACCUGGCAUAAUGGCAUUUACGCAUGUGUUUAAACUCAGGAAAGAGCUUUAUAUCCUCUUAAAUGAGGACUCUAAAGUUCACCUGUAACGUAAAAUUCUCCCCUAACUUUUUAACUUCUUAUCUGCUUAUUUUUGCUUUUUUGUGACAUUUGGAGAAGGCCUGGAAAGUUAACUUUGCUUAUAUAUAAAAAAUUCUACUUCCAUCUGUAUACCAGAAAUAUCAGGGUUUCCCCCCCCCCCUGCUUUUUGCUGAAGGGCCCAGGGAGAACUGAAGAACCUCUGAGAACUGGCCAAAGAAAGAAGAUGGCAAAGUGAAUAUCUGGCUCGUGCUAACAUCUCGCUCCUGCUCACGGGGUGAGCUCACACCACUGCUGUGGGUACAGUCUCAGCUCCCAACAUCAAAGAACAGCAAGCUGGC
rnacentral:lncRNA from 1 species